ensembl:lncRNA
AUCUGAGACAACACUUGGAUUUUACCUAGGUGGAAAACAUGGAAAAAACUGGACUUGGACAUGAGGAAUUACAGAAUUGCCAAGGAGAAUAUUAAUAAUUAAGUUUGGGGUGGUUUUUUUUAUUCUUAUCUACCAAAACGUUCCCCACACGUGACAAGCAUUCCCAUUUCUCAACCAGAGACACUGAGGCACAAGAACCGACUUGUCUAAAACGACUCGACGCGGCAGACAGGAAUGGCAGCCGAGCCCCGAGCACCCACAUACCAGGCUCCUCGGUAAACCCCUCCUCGUCCCCCCAGCAGCACCUCUCGUGUCGAGGCAGAUGUCUGGGGCUGAGGCGAGGGCUGCUGUCCGCUGGCGCCGGCGUCGCCCUCCUCGGCGCUGCAGGGCCGCCGAGGGCGUCCAUCUUGUUUCACCUCAGGUUGUUCCCUGGAGCUUUCUGUCCACAUUAUAUUGAAGACUCCUGUGAUAAACCCAGAAGAAUUCCUAAAGCAAGGUGGUGCAUUGAGCGUGUAAUUUAGCUCACAGGUGAUCUGUAACUUCAGAGUAAAAGAUAGGCCAUGGCACAAAGACUUUACACUACUGAACUGAAGAUCUGAAGAACUGGGAGUGGGAUGCAGACACAUGAAGAGUUUGAUGACUGCUAUUCAUGUAAGGUUUGUUUUUCCUUCAAUUUUUUAGUGAUCUAGUAGUUUUGUUUGUUGUUUUGUUAGUCUGCGUAACAGUAAAUGUUUUGGAGUAAGCUUCCAAUGUUUUGUAUUUGAUUCUGAUGUAUUGAUGAGUGAUUGAAAAAAAAAAACACACAAUAAUGGAAAACCAGAAUUUUGUGCUUGGAAAACCUAUAAACAACUCUUGAUUUCUAAGGACAAAUUUUUAAUGUGACAUUUUGCUAUGCCUAUGCCAGAGUCUGUUUUCAUGUUGGCUUUAGUCAUUUUGUUGCUAUAUGUUAAAUAGCAAGAUAUGAAGUUUUGAUAAUAUUUUAGUGAAAAAAUUAUGUAGAUCUUUGUCUAAUUUGUAAAUAAGUGACUAGGUGUUUGGAUAGAGCAGUUAUUGCGUUAUGCUAGUUUAAUUCCCCAUGAAGGAAUUACUGCAUUUUAGAGAAAAAUAACUUAGAAAUAACUUCUGAAAACCUUGCUAUGGUGCUCAUCUGUACCUUUGGGGACCUAAAUAUCUUUUAAAAUUUGAACUGGUUAUAUGCAAGAGUUUUCUCUAAGAUUGAUACAACCUAUGUGGAGAUCAGCCCUGAUAUAAAUAGGCACACUUACUUGAAUGAACUUCUGCCUGUCUGUGUUUGUCCCAAAGACUUAAGCAGACUGCCUUCAAGGAGCCUUGUAAUUGCUCCCGUAUCAAAGUGUGGUGCUGUAACCUACAACGAUGAGUUACUGCUAAUCUGUUAACAGAAGAUCUUGUAGGCGGAAAUCUGUAUAAAAGUCCUACAGACCAAUAUAUUAACGGAAUAAUAGUAAUUCUUGGAAUAUACAAAGAGUUCUUCACCCAUGGUGUCUAAAGCCUUAUUACUAAGGAGUGUGUAUCAUUAUUUUCAUUAACAGAUGGAGAAAGUGAAGCGCAAAAAAGUCAAGGGUUAUGUAGAAAGAGGUCUGCUUAGGCAAUUUUGCAAAACCUGUAGUUUGAAUCAGUAAUAAAGAAAAUGAUAGAAACA